AUUGCACGCUGGCGGCAGGCCUAACACAUGCAAGUCGAACGAGUGGCGGACGGGUGAGUCAUGUCUGGGAACCUGCCCAGUGGAGGGGGAUAACUACUGGAAACGGUAGCUAAUACCGCAUCCCCUCUGAUGUGCCCCUAUCGGAUUAGCUAGUAGGUGGGGUAACGGCUCACCUAGGCGACGAUCCCUAGCUGGUCUGAGAGGAUGACCAGCCACACUGGAACUGAGACACGGUCAAGACUCCUACGGGAGGAAGCAGUGGGGAAUAUUGCACAAUGGGCGAAAGCCUGAUGCAGCCAUUCCGCGUGUAUGAAGAAGGCCUUCGGGUUGUAAAGUACUUUCAGCGGGGAGGCGGUACUCGCAGAAGAAGCACCGGCUAACUACGUGCCAGCAGCCGCGGUAAUAC
rnacentral:rRNA from 1 species